GACGAACGCUGGCGGCGUGCUUAACACAUGCGAGUCGAAUGGAAAGGCCCUGCUUUUGUGGGGUGCUCGAGUGGCGAACGGGUGAGUAACACGUGAGUAACCUGCCCUUGACUUUGGGAUAACUUCAGGAAACUGGGGCUAAUACCGGAUAGGAGCUCCUGCUGCAUGGUGGGGGUUGGAAAGUUUCGGCGGUUGGGGAUGGACUCGCGGCUUAUCAGCUUGUUGGUGGGGUAGUGGCUUACCAAGGCUUUGACGGGUGGCCGGCCUGAGAGGGUGACCGGCCACAUUGGGACUGAGAUACGGCCCAGACCCCUACGGGAGGCAGCAGUGGGGAAUAUUGCACAAUGGGCGGAAGCCUGAUGCAGCAACGCCGCGUGCGGGAUGACGGCCUUCGGGUUGUAAACCGCUUUCGCCUGUGACGAAGCGUGAGUGACGGUAAUGGGUAAAGAAGCACCGGCUAACUACGUG
rnacentral:rRNA from 1 species